rnacentral:rRNA from 1 species
UUUUUCAGGGAGGAAUCAAAUGACGUGUACCUGAAGAAUAAGCAUCGGCUAACUCCGUGCCAGCAGCCGCGGUAAGACGGAGGAUGCAAGUGUUAUCCGGAAUCACUGGGCGUAAAAGCGUCUGUAGGUGGUUUAGUAAGUCAACUGUUAAAUCUUGAAGCUCAACUUCAAAAUCGCAGUCGAAACUAUUAGACUAGAGUAUAGUAGGGGUAAAGGGAAUUUCCAGUGGAGCGGUGAAAUGCGUAGAGAUUGGAAAGAACACCGAUGGCGA